rnacentral:rRNA from 1 species
UGGGGAAUAUUGGACAAUGGGCGAAAGCCUGACCCAGCAACGCCGCGUGAAGGAUGAAGUAUUUCGGUAUGUAAACUUCGAAAGAAUAGGAAGAAUAAAUGACGGUACUAUUUAUAAGGUCCGGCUAACUACGUGCCAGCAGCCGCGGUAAUACGUAGGGACCAAGCGUUGUUCGGAUUUACUGGGCGUAAAGGGCGCGUAGGCGGCGCGGUAAGUCACUUGUGAAAUCUCUGAGCUUAACUCAGAACGGCCAAGUGAUACUGCAGUGCUAGAGUGCAGAAGGGGCAAUCGGAAUUCUUGGUGUAGCGGUGAAAUGCGUAGAUAUCAAGAGGAACACCUGAGGUGAAGACGGGUUGCUGGGCUGACACUGACGCUGAGGCACGAAAGCAUGGGGAGCAAACAGGAUUAGAUACCCACGUAGUCCCUGAGCGGGCUGGCAAGGCGCAU